rnacentral:lncRNA from 1 species
CACAAACAGAAGCAUUCAUAUAGAUCUGCCCAUCUGAAAAAGGAUUUAGCAAAGGACAUUUCUCCUUGCAAUGGGACAGCUGAAGAGGUGUAAUUUAACAGCUCUCAGAGGCCGUCACUGUGGUGAUUGAGGUGGACAGAAGGCAUGGACAUGACCAAGGCCCUUAAAAGACACAAACAGGUGGGAGAGUGUGCUGGGGGUGGGCAGAGGGCUGCAGAGGACAAAAAGGAGGAGGCUCGCCUUCGGAGAGCAGAGACGGGAGAAGGCAGACAGCGAGACUGCCCGAGGAACGGGAGGAGAGGGGAGGACAGGAGAUCCGAAGCUAAAAGCUCGGUCACAUCUAGACAGGACACAAUAUGAGGUAAAGCUAGAAUGAAGGACAGGAUUAAAAGAAGGGAAGAGAAAUGAGCGGACAGGGCACAGAGAGGGAGAAAUGACAGACAAUCAGGAAAGGGAACGUGCAUAAAGGAAAGACAAAGAUGAUUUCUCCAUGUGUGACCAGAAGGAGGGCGGUUAAAAAGAAAGAGAAAGGAGUAACAGGGAAAAGGGUCUUAAGACGGAGACAAAAGAAGCAAGCAGUGCACAAGUCCUAGUUAAAUGCUUAGAAAAUCACCAGGCUGUCGGGCUGAGCUGGAAGACGAGCCCUAGCCGUACCCAAGAGGGGACCAUCAGAAAGACGGAGGCAGGCAAUUUAAGUAGCUGGUUACUAGGUAAAAAUGAAAAAAAAAAUUGAAGAAGGAAAAGGUGAGAAGCAGAAGAGGGAAAACCCAAAGGACACACUGGCCCAGAAACCUUUUUAACUUUCUGUAAGAAUCUUCAAGGCCCCAAACUAGGCCAAGAUUCUGACUGACAUUUCUGAGCUCACCAGCUGCUGUUUCCUUGAGAGAAUUCUGACAGGAAGGCAUAGAAACGCAAGCCAACACUGCCAGCGCCGAAAAAAAAUAAAUAAAUAACAACCGUGCUCUGAGCACCUCAAUGGGGCCGAAACCUGUCGGAGAAGGCACACAGCUGAGAAGGACCGCCUGCAACUUUUCCCCAGUGUUGACCAUCUGUCUGCACCCUCAUUGGUGAAAGCUCCUACAACCACACUCUUGAAGAGGGGUCACACCUUCCUGACUUCUGUGUGGCUUUACUCUUCUUCUUCACCUUCUCAUUUUUAGGAAGGUCAGAAUGUAAGAGUCCCAUUCCUUGCCCUGAACUGUUGAGUGUCAGAAACAUUGCACUAGAACAGUGGUUCUCGAAGUGCAGUCCCCAGACCAACAGCAUCAGCAUCACCUGGGAAAUUGUUAGAGAUGCAUAUUCUCAGACCCAACUCAGACCUACUGACUCAGAAACUCUAGGGGUCAGAGAUGGCAAUCUGUGUGUUACCUGGCCCUCCAGGUGCCUCUGGUAGACUAAAUUCAAAGGUUAAGAUUUUUUAUUUCCAGAAUCCACAGAGCUCGGAUCUCCUUACAGGUGCGACUCUGGUCACCUACAGGGCUAUAGCUUCUAAAGGAGACCCUUCCACAAAGAACAACCUCUCCGUCACUGCCUGUGUCCUUCAUCCAUAAAAUAUGAAUUAUUAUAAUGUAAGUUACUUGUUACAGCACUGAGAACAGUGCCUGCACACAGUAAGUGCUCUCUAAGUGUGGUGGUGGUAGUUUUAUCUGCUCCACCCUUACUGAGCAAAGGCCUUCACUGGGUGGUGUGGGAAAUCAAAAAUGAGGCAGUCAGGAUGCCAGCCCAUAUGAGAGGAGAUGCACGCGUUACAGGGACACAAGGAAUCAGACCGCUAGGUGAGAUGUGGUAAGUGCCCAAGUACAUGUGCAAUAACAGGAACUAGACAACUGGAAGAAAAUUUUAUGGAGAAAGUCUUUUGAGCUGAGCCUUAAAGAGGGAGUAAUGGUGAAGAUGGGCAAAGAGAAAAGAACAUUCCAGGUGGAAGCUGAGCAUAGAGAACAUUGGAAAGAUAAGAUGUCAGUGGUCCAGUGUGGACAGUAGUACCCGCUCCCCUUUCUGUUGUUAAUAUGUUAAAUAUUCGUGUUGUGGAGAGGGAUCCCCCGUUCUGGGUCUAAACAUUUGUUACCAUGUUUGAAGAAAUUCUUCCUUUACUCCAAACUAAGUCAUUUCCCUUAGACUGUUGUAAGAUGAGUCCUUUCCAGUAUUGAUGAUUUCAUUACUUCAGUAUCUGUGUCUCUCUUUCUUGUUUAUCAUUAGAUCAAUGUUUUUCAAAGUCCCACUUGCAACAGAACAAAUCAGGAGUGGUUGCAAAAAGGCAGAUUCCUGGGUCCCGGUCCAGAUGGCUUAUUUCAGCACCUUUAAGAGCAAAUCAGAAUAAUCUGCAUUUUAACAGCUCCCUUGUGAUUCAGAUGUUCACUCAAGUUCAAAAAGCAACUCUCCUAGAGCUGUUCUUUCUCAAAUUUACUGAGCGUUGAAAUCACCGUGGGCGUGCUUGUUAAAAAUAUGGACACCCAGCCCUUCUCCUGGAGAUUCUGAUUCCCUGGCUCUGGAGUGGGGUGUAAGAAUGGGAGUUUUAAAAAGUGCCUCUGGAGCACCAAGGAUCAGGCAAGGUUUGCGAAAUACGGCAUAUCUGAAUGAAGGUGUGUUUUGGGUUGGAGAGGUCAAGUCGUAGGCCAGCCAUUUACUAGCUGUGUGAUUUGGGUGAGUUUCUUAAGCACUCUAUGCCUCCACAGUACUUAACCUGCUGGAGACCAUUUCAUCCUGUGUAGUAAGACAUGCUCCACAGAAUUGCUGGAAGCGACAUGGUAAACAGCUUAGUAUGAUGUUGGCUCCCUCUCCACGCUUUGCCCCAUCCUCCCCAGAAGUGCCUGCUCCAGCUCUCCAGCUCUGAUGAGAGGCAGGGCAAGGACAACAGUGACGGCAAAAUGCCACCAAUACUCACCUCUUCUGAGAAAGGUGGCAGGAUGCCUGCAGGGAGAGAAGAUGGGCUUUCGAAGCUGGCCUUGUUCCUGGCUGCCCCUGGGAAGUUAAAAUGGGACACAUGCCCAUGACUGAAUCAAUAUUCAGAACUGGCCGGUCCUCUAAAAAUAGCAAGACGUUCUGGCUGAGCCUUAGGAAAAAGAAGGUCCUACCCUAACGUACUACCCCAUACUUGCCUUAAAAGGAGGGGUCUCUGCUUUAUUUCCUACCUCCUCAGCCAGAUGAUGGUAAACCACAAAUAAUUUGGCUUGUAACUUGGUGAACUCCAGCAUAACUUGUUUCAUGGACAGCCACCAAGAACACCAGCAGUGAUUCCAGUGUAUAAGGUCACAAGUGCUCAGACUUUGGGGUGGCCGUAUCUUUGCAGACGCUCCUCCUGCAGACGCUAGCGGAGUUCUAAUCUCCAUAAAAGCAUGCAAUUUUGAUUAUAGUUUAAGAAAUUAUUACCGAUUGUUUAAAACUUCCCGGCCUAACUGUGGGGCAGAGAAAGGAUAGGGAGCGCUAAGAUGCCUAAAUUCGAAAUUCAGAGAAUGAGACACCGGUGAUUUUUCUUCUGCAGGAAGUCCUGAUUUCCUCUCCUCAUCCAGCAUACACAUGUCUAACCAAGGUCAGAUCUGUUGUCAGAGGGCAAAGGCCUUGUGGUCAAUAAGGGGACACUCAGGGCAUCUCAUCAUCUAUAUUGUUUCAUAAAAGUCCUGAAAAUUUUGUCAGAAAUGGUGCUGAUGGAUAUCUUUUCUUAACAAAUCCUUUUCAAACAUAGCAAAAUAUGAAAAUUUUUUUUUAAAAAAAGAGAAACCAAAAUUGUGGGAGAAAUAUUUUUGAUAAUAUUUAAGCUUUCCCAAGUAUCUUAGAACCACCCCUUGCAUAACAAUUGUCAUCUGAAUGAAACUAGUCAAUCAAAUAUAAAGACCUUCAUGUGCUGAGUAGUUUCAGUUGCUGUAUUUAUAUUAAUUAAUAUUAAAUAAUAGUCAUACGAAUUACUUAUUAGACAUCUAACGCUGUGUUCACAGCAUGUUACAUAAAUCUACCUCAUUGAAGCCUCCUGUUGAGUCAGUAUUAUUAUUCUCACUUUACAGAUGAGGAAACUGAGGCUCAAGGAGCUUAAGUAGCUUGCUCAAGGUCAUAGAGCCAGAAUGCACAGAUGCCCCGGCCAUGCUCUUCCUCCCCACACCCCUCUGCCGCCAAUAACCUUGAAGAUUACAUGGUGUUAGUCUAUAAUCCAGACUUCCCUCUGUCUCAACCCGCCCUUGAUUUUUCCCAAAUCUAAGAGGCUUUCUGAGGAGCAUUAAUGCGAAAUCACCAUCCUCACUUCUCUGUAAUGUUGUGUCUGAGUCAUUUAUGUUCAAAUACUCCCCUGCUCGGAGAGAGAAAUAGGAAAAAGAACUGUGUCUGCUGUUUACAUUUCUGAUGAUACUUUUACUGUUACUUAAGUUCCAAAUGCUGUAAAAUGGUACUUGAUUCUCAAGAACAAGGGAAAGGACAAUUAAUUUAAGGCUUUCAAACAACUGUCUGAUUACAGGGCAGAGGGAGGGAGAAAUAAAUCUUGCUUUCAAUAACAUGGUGAGUGACAUUUUAUAUUGCCAUCGGCCUGUUCUAAGAAACUCAAGACCCUCAUGUGUGUUAUGUCAUUAAUCUCCAACCUGCCCCAUGAUGGGCAGAUGGGGUUACACAACCACUAUUUGCAGAUAAGUGGCAUGGGAUCUGGUGCAGAGAGGAGGGACAGAAAGGUGGGGACUUCGCCAAUAUCACAUAGCACACAAGUGGCCAAGUGACACACCAAAACUCCCCAUUCUUCCUAUUAGCAUCACCUGCCAAAGUCAGAAGAUUUGGGCAGGUAAGAAACCAAACAAAUAGUAUGGAAAAGACCUACAUGCGCCUGCCAUAUCAAUGCCUUUUGCCCUGUGCAAAACUCAGAGAAACGUGCCUUUAUAUUCCAUCCUAGGCUUCGUUUCCGCAUUUAUGCCUCGUCUGAAAUGUUUUGAUUUUGUUGUCAUUGUUUGUUUUGUUUUUCCAGCCCAACUUUCACUCCAUUUUCUAAUCUGUUCCAUCGAUUUCCUUCCUUGCAUCUUGUUAUGACCAGGGAAACCAGGACGAGUGUUAAGACAAGACUUUUGUCAUAGGUAUUCCCAUUUCGAACUUGACCUUUGGGUUCACAAUUCUUUAUGUGUUCUAAGUCAAUAAGAAUUUAGUUCCUCAGACUCAAGAAUGAUCAAGUAAUUGGCUAUUAAAAGUUUUUAUUGUUGUUUUUUUUUCCUGAAGAUUUUGAAGGCAAAUUUUGACUUUUUGACCAUAUGAGGUUGAGCUUGACAAAGACAACAACUCACACCCAAAUUGGGGACAUUCUCACAAGUGGAUGGUUAGCACUGUCUUGGUUAUCUCACACCAUUUCCCUGGAAAUCUAUUUCUUUUGUAUUCUUACAUAAAUUGAUCACCUUCUGGGCCUCAGCUGGCUCAUGAAUGGCAAGUCUAUUAAUGCUGGUUCUUUCUAGUUCUCUGGACCAAAGAACCCAGUGGUCUUUCUCAUCUGUGCAAACUUUCACUUCUGAAACUCACAUGCCAAACCCUUUGGAAGAUCUUGAUCUGACAGGUUUCACUAGUUAUAAGGAAACUUGUCUCAGCUCCUAAGUUCCCUGAUUCACUGGAAGAGAUGAGACCUUUUAAUCUUCUCAAAGGCACAGCCACAGCUUCUCCUUGGCCCCCCGCCUCUCCUGCCCAUCAGCCGCUGCUUUUGAUUGACCACUGUCCCCAAACCUGGGAGAGGAAGAGCAGCCCCAUAUUCUCACUCAUAUGAAGCUUGCACUUGACUAUGGGAGAGAACCAUGUUUUCGUAGCAGAAGCUCAUAUGGCCGCUGGAUUGUAUUAUAUGAGUUAUUGGAUGACUCCCAAGGUCAGCCAGAAACAUUUUAAAUGGGGUGCCUAGGACAUUUACCUAUUUUCCUGAGAAAAACUAUGAAUGCUAAGCCACCACCAGCACCAGCAAACCAAGUGCACAGCUGCAGAGGAAUAAACGUGCACAAAGCAUAAAGCCCAUACUGUUUCCUCCCUCCCUUGCUUCCUUCUCAACUCCUACCCUGCAAGUCUAUCUCCAUGGGUUGGUCCAAGACUGUCCCUCCAACCCAAUUAGUUUUUUUAAACGAUUACCAUUUAUGUAUAUGUAAACCAGUUCGUUUCUAUGACCCUCAUCUGUAAAACCAGAUAAAAAUAAUGGCGAUUUCACAGAGUAGUGAGAAUUUAAGGAGCUCGUCUAAGCAAAGCACCCCGAACAAUCCCUGUCAUAGAGAGGAUGUUUAAAAAGAAUUUGUUCUUAUUUUUAUGACUUUUAUUAAUAGAUUUCAUGAACUGCCCUUGUCAGUGCCUUCAGCCUCAAACCUUCUUUGGGGUGCAAUUCUUCUCUUCGCACACUCCCUGUUUCCUGCCAGAGAAUCAGAUGCCAUGAAGCUGAAACCCCCACCUUCCUCCAGCCAGGGUGGCCUGUGCAGACCCCGAGGGGCUCGGCAGCUGCCAGCGUCCCUCACUCUUUCACAGCUCGGGCCUAACAGAUUGUGGGGCAGGUGAUGGGCUAGGGGAGAAGAAGCCGAACAAAAAGAUCCUUUCCACAAUGAACAAUUGGGCUUGGAAUGCUGUGCCGGCAGCUGCGGCCCAUCGACAUGCGCCCACGACAGACAGACAUACAGUAGGAAACAGGGGGGCCUGGGAGUUCUAAGCAGGAGUUGCUCUCUGUGCAUGUGCAGAAUAGUUCUCUUGGGUUCUCUCUCUCUUUUUUAACUUUUGCUUCAUGGGAUUCCGAACAUUAAAAAAGCAUCAUAUUGAAAUAUAUAAGCAGCAGCUAUUAAAUUAAUGAAUACUAAUCACAAAGAUUAUCGCUACACCCAAAUAAGCCAGUGAAAGUUGUCUGCCAUUUAUUUGUGAACAAACAGUAAAGGAAGAAAUUAGGUCCCAAAGAGUGCCACCAACCCUCACAAUAGCUGUAUUCCAGGAUGGUCUGGAGGAUGACAGGACGGAUGAGAUAAGUUCCCAGUGGUCCCUCCCUCUAAGCGUUGCCCACCUAGAGGAGGAGGAAGGAUGCAAGUGGCCCACAUCUGAGAUGCUGGGCUGCAUCUGGACGACAGAAGAAGCCAGGCUGGAGCCAAGACUGCUUCCCGAGGCCACAUGCUUCUUUAUAUCCCCAUACGGAUUACUUUGCUAUGGAAUGUAAGGAAGUGUGUGGUUUCUGCAAGUGCCUCUUCGCCAGCCCCACGGUCGCCCCCCAGAGCACAGGUUUCACCUUCUUCCUCAACAGGGCUUUGCACCAGAAGCUGUCUCCCUCACCAAUGAAGCGACGGCCUCUGAGUCCCGUCUGAUGUCCUCUCCCACCCGCCCUUCCCUCCUUCUUGAGGUUUCACCGCUCAGCCCAAGAGUCAGGCACACUGGUUGUUGUCCUAGCUUCCCAUGCCCACUAGGCAGAGAGAGGCCACAUCAUCUAAAGGUUUUCCCCGGAAUCAGCCCUCGCCCUCCAAGCUCCUUCCUCCAGUCUUUUUGUUCCUGAAAGAUGUUUCUACGAACCAGACUGAAUUGUAAUUCCUUCCACUCCAUCUGUAUCACUUUCCUUUAUACUCAUCUGUGUCAGUGGCAGUUUGCACAUUUCCAAGGGCUUUCCUUGCAGAUAGGCAGGUGCCGUGAGACUCAGGAGACUACAGCCUCAGGUCACACAGUCAGUCCUCUGACCCUGCUCUGCUCUCCUUUCCACUUCACAUCGCAACCCUGUCACAAAUCAGCGUGGGGUGAGGCUGUUUGCAGAAAAGCUUUGAGGUGCUAAAAUGGUGAUUCACUCAUCUGAUUGGCUAAGUUCCUUUCUCCUCCCUUCCCUGAACCACUGAGUUCCCACCCUGACCCUAAAGAGCCUGAAACCACACCACAAAGGAGUUGGACUUACGAAGGGAGGCCCUGAGCAUGAGGAGAGACUGGUCACCCAAGGCUCAGGCCAUCAUCUACCUACCCCAGCAUUUCAGAAUGAGCCAGGAGGCUGAUGGGAUCUCCCUCCCUCACUUAAACCCCAGCUCCAGAAUGGCUUCAUGCGUUCCACAGCUCUGCUUCCUUGUUGUUAGGGUGACUAUGUGUGAGAUGAGGGCUGGGACCACACGAAAUUGUUACUAUGAGUUCUUAAGCAGAACCAUGAAAGGAUUUGACCUACAUCUGCCAAGAUGCACAGGAGAGGGCUAUAAAAGUGAACUGAGAAGCAGCACAACGAGGCCAUGGGAAGAGGUGGACAGGGAAGGAUGACUGUGGAGUGGCCAGAGACGACGGGACUAUUCCCUCAGAGGCGACAGCACCCAGAGCACACUGGGCCAAGCCCCCACCAGGCUGCGGCAACACAGGUGACACCACCCACCCACCUCUUCCAGACACCGGGAAGUUGUCUAAUGGUCUUCAAGGGCAUGCCAACCUGUCCUGCUUGGGGGUUGGGAGGACUCUAGAAGAACAUGGGGGAAUUACUAGAGCUGAGGCAGCUGCAGGACUGAACACAGAGACACAGCUUCAGAUCAGCGAUUCUCAACUGGAGGUGAUUUUGCCCCUCAGGGCUCAUUUGGCAUUGUCUGGGGACAUUUUGACUGUCACAACCAGGGGGCUAUACUGGCAUCUAGUGAGUACAGACCAGACAUGCUGCUAAACACCUGACAAGGCACAGGCCAGCCCUCCACAGCAAAGACUUAUCUGGCCCAAAAUGUCAAUGCGCUGAGAAACCUGCUUUAGAUAGUGGGGCUUUCAAUGAAUAAGGUCUCUGACAUCAGCAUACUAGGGCACACCAUCUUCCGAGGAAAAUCACUGCCCUACUCUUAAGAACGUUGGUUCAUCUUCCUGUCUGUAAAUUAGGCAGAUGCCUCAAAGUUGUGCUUCUUUCCAGUGACAAGCCUUUCCCUUUUCUAAAUCAUAUCUGCUGUAAAGAUAGUUUUCCCUUCAGAGCCUUAGGUUGAUUUCAUGUUGUCUGCUCAGAGACUGGGGGUGUGUUGUGUGGGUGCAACAGGACGUGAGUAAAGAAGACCAGAGGUAAGAUAAUGAAGAGUAAUGUCCUGGUUGAAGAAAUUGCACUGCAAGAGACUUGUCUUUCUGACUGACGAGCUGGAUGCACGUACUUUUUCCAUCCUGAUGUCAGACUGUCUGGCUGACUUCCCCCUCCACAGCUGCCUACUCCUCGCUCCCCAGAAGGAGCUGGGGAAGGAUGGUUGGGCUAGGAUGAGGUUAGCCAGAGGAAACGCUGGUGAGCAGUGGCCCCAAGACACCUAAGUCAUUAGGAGGAGGAGGGGAAAGUUAAGAUGCCCGACAGCAGAGCUAGUAGGACACGUGCCAAGGAAGAGACGACUCAGUACAAGAAAGAAGCUUUGCCAUCAUCCUGCCCAAGCCAUUCUAGAACCAAGCCAUAGCUGGUGGGGCCCCUGCUUUCCCACCACCACCACCACAGUGUGUUUCACCUAGUUACCGCUUCUACGGUGCCUCACUGAGUGCUUUGAUUUCUGGGACAUCUUAUUUAUUCCAGACAGAGCUCCUAAACUGGGGUACUGCUUGGCUGGGUAAACCAGUUCUGCUUUUCCUGAUCAGCAUUUUCAACAAUUUCAGACAUGAAAUGAAAAUACUUGCAGCCGAGGGAAAGGAAACGUGUGACGGACAGUCUGGAGUUGAGAGUGAAACUCUUGGCCUCACAAGCAGUCAGAAUUGUCUCUAGGACUCUCCCACAACCCCUGAAAGUGUCCACUGUGCUACAGGGGACUUAAUGUUGAGGACCUUUCCUUUGGUAUCACUAAGCCUUGCAACAAGCAGGCGAGGUGGAAGCACUGAUGCUCCCCCACUGUACGGAUACAGAAACUGAGGUUUAAAGAUGUUAUCUAACUUCCUAAGAGCAAAAGCGCUAGGAAGCAUCAAUGAGUUCAAACCCAAUAAGUGUGACUCCAACGCCACACGGUUUCCACUCCAUUACAUUUCUCUUUGUCAGUGAGAGGAAAUAAAAUGCAGGCACACCUGCCCCCAAGGGAGAAGGGCAGCUUUCUGGCAUCCUACAAACUAUCCUUCCAUCCUACCUUUUCCCCUCCUGCUCAAAUACAUUUGUCUUUGACAGAUGGCCAGACCACCUGUCUGGGGAGCAUCUCCUUAAUCAGCUCCCUGCCCCCUCGAUCGCACUUUCCUAGAAACAGGGAGAAAUCAGUGGGUACCUCUGCUAGUCCAGCCGUUCUCAAACUUUAGCUGCAUCAGAAUCACCCGAAGGAUGUCUGGGCCCACUCCCAGGUGUUUGACUGGUAAAUAUUGUUUCUCCUUUGCAAAGGCAACCUACAAGUUCCUACAUAUUGGAAUCUAGACUUCUCCUUUAAAAUCCGUAAGAAUCAAAGUUAUCACCACCUCCCUCGAGAAACCACUUAGUCAGUUCUGCCCAUUUGUUAAACCAAACCAGCUCAAUGUCUAUCGGUGGGAGAAUGACUAAAUAAAGUCUAUUAUAUUCACAUAGUAGAAAACUAUCAAACAAUGCAAAUUAAUAAGCUAUAGCAGCCACAUCAAUAUGGAUGAAUCUUGCAAAUGUCAUUUCAAGUGAAAAUAUCAAGUCACAUAAGAAUACCUGUGAUAGGCUACCAUUAUAUUAAAAAACAAGUAAUACACAAGCUAUAGAGAAGAACAUUUAAAUUGUAAGAACAAAAGGAAUAGCAGUUAUCUCUGAAGGGAAACUAAAGAGAUAAAUUAAGAAAAGCAUUCGGAAAGGCUCAACAGUGUUGGUAAAGUUCUUUUUCUAAGAUAGGUGAUUGUGGGUAUUGGUUUUAUCAUUAUGUGUCAUAACUACACAUGUAUUACAUAUGUUCUCUUAUAAAUACAUCAUAUUUGAACAAAAAAAUGAUAAAAUUUAUUUUAAAAAUUAAGAUGUAAGAUAUUCAAAAUAUACACACCAAAAUGUUGAAUUUAUUUUGGAAGAUGAGACGAGAGAGAAUUAUGGGAGACUUUCAUUUUGUCAUUCUACAAUUUUAUAUCAUUUCGGUUCUUCACAAUGUCCAUAUUUGAAAAAGGAAUAAGGAUCAAAGAAAGAAAAUAAAACAAAGUCAUACAAUGCAAAAUACAAAUUGGGCAUGGUUUUCAUAAAUCCUGUGAGAGGACAUUCUGGGCAAGGCGAGCUCUGGGACUGGAUUCGCGCUAAUGCUGGUUCUCUCUGUGUUGCAG